rnacentral:rRNA from 1 species
GACGAACGCUGGCGGCGUGCCUAAUACAUGCAAGUUGAGCGCUGAAGGUUGGUACUUGUACCAACUGGAUGAGCAGCGAACGGGUGAGUAACGCGUGGGGAAUCUGCCUUUGAGCGGGGGACAACAUUUGGAAACGAAUGCUAAUACCGCAUAAAAACUUUAAACACAAGUUUUAAGUUUGAAAGAUGCAAUUGCAUCACUCAAAGAUGAUCCCGCGUUGUAUUAGCUAGUUGGUGAGGUAAAGGCUCACCAAGGCGAUGAUACAUAGCCGACCUGAGAGGGUGAUCGGCCACAUCGGGACUGAGACACGGCCCAAACUCCUACGGGAGGCAGCAGUAGGGAAUCUUCGGCAAUGGACGAAAGUCUGACCGAGCAACGCCGCGUGAGUGAAGAAGGUUUUCGGAUCGUAAAACUCUGUUGGUAGAGAAGAACGUUGGUGAGAGUGGAAAGCUCAUCAAGUGACGGUAACUACCCAGAAAGGGACGGCUAACUACAUG